CUUUGAGAGCUUCUCUCUCCUCUUGUGAGAACCCUUUGCUAGGGUUUUGCCUGACGCUAUUCUUCCACCGACUCUCUCUGCUCUCAAGCUGCCGCUGCUGCCAGCACAUAGAUGGGCAGCAAGGGAGAUGGUUGGAGUUGUCGCCGGCGAGUAGCAAAAACACUUUUGGAGGCCUUCUUGCACAUGCUUUGGAGUUUUGGGCCAUUGCGAGGAGGAAGACUGCAGCCGCGGCAACUCUACUCUCUCUUUUAUGACAUGGCGAGGAAAAAACAGUCGGUUGAGCACUAUAUGCUCUCAAACCCUCUACAUAGGGUCAAGGUCGUCACCGAAAAAGGAGCGGUAGAGAGCUCUUUGGCUAUGUCCGAGAGUCCGGCGAUAGAAAAGAAAAACAGUGUUUUCAGUGCCGCAAAAGUGGUUGUUGCUGCUGUUUUGUUGCUCAUCUGGAGAUGCCACUAGUGAAAGUGCUGCGUAGAUGAAGAUCGGAAAACGGGUGCCAUUCCGCUGCACAAAACCCAACAUUGGUAUCAAAGUUGGUUCAACACUUGGACGUAGGGUCCCACACGCGCGGAUAAGUGUGCCUUAAGGGGGUGGAUUGUAACACUCCAAAAAUUUAAUCUUGUAUUAAAGAUUGUGAGGAAUCUUCAAGGGCUUAUAAAGGGGGUUAUUAAAUAAAUGGUUGUUCUGGUUUUUAGCCUUUUUGGGGUUGGAGCCGAAACUAUUAGGAGGCAGGUUGGGAUCCAUCGAACCAAGAGCUCGACUCCAAGAGUGGGUUGGGCUGUUACAGUGGUAUUAGAGCCUUGUUUGUCAAAUUCAUACACCUGAAGCACCCUGAGCUACAUCCGCUGCCCUUGUUUUGGUGGUCUCCCACAAUACUCUGUCCAAGCCUAACGGGUCUUUUGAGAAUGGCUGGAGAAGCCUUUGUCGCUUCCCCACUUCAGUCGCACCGAUGUUUUUUUUCUUCUCUUUCGGUGAUGACCCAGACCAAACAGAUCACAGAGGUUUUUAGAUGCGUUAUAGAGAGGGCUUCGAAGCUCCUGCUGCUUUCCGGGCAUAGACAGUCAUCAGUCUCACAGUAGCAAAAGGGAGAUGCUCGCUGGUCCCCUUCCGCAUCUCUAUGGUUCUCUUCCUUGAAAUGGUAGUAGAGGUCUCCAGCCGUCUCUCCCGCGCCAGUAGCAUAUACACACUGGUUGAAGAGGUGGCCGAGAAGAGGAUGAAGGUCGGUGAAACCUUUGUAGAGAAGCUCAUUGUAGCGACCCAAAGCCCCAAAUCUGGUCAGAAAGCGCUCCAACUGCAUUGCGGAUGCGGCUUCAGACGACCUCUGUGCGGUAGAAGAAGAAGAGGACAUCUUCUUCACAGUGACAGUGGAGAAAAUUGAAUAGAUGCAGCAGAAGAGGUGUGACGGGUGAAACCCUAGCAAAGGGUUUUCACGAGAGGAGAGAGAAGAAAACCAAAAAAUGAGAAAAACUCGAGCUCGAAGAGUAUUUAUACAAAAAUUUGAGAAUUACGAAAUUAGUCCAUCUCUUUCA